AUUCAGAUCUUCCUGACUCCAGGCCCAGGAUUCUUUCUAUCCAUUGCACCACCCAGCUGCCCUGAAAUGAGACAGAGGACGUCUAAGAAUUCCUAAUGUAAAGACCAGAGAUAAAGUAUACGCAUAAUUUUCGUCUAGUAAAUUACAUACUUGCAACCUCACUGGCAUCAGAACGAGUAUCCCACCUACAGUUACCCUCCAGAUUCCGGUAGCAGUUUGGAAGAGAGCCAGUACCCUGUCUGUCCUUGAUGUCAUCUGAUGAUCCUGGACUAUUUCUGGAAAUUCUUGUAAGUGCCACCACUGAGCGCUUCAUCUGGGCAAUUUCUGAAAGGUGGGAACUUUUCAAGUAGGGACAGGAAAGAGAUCUGGGGCUAGAAAAAGAAGGAUCUUGUCCAGGACUAACAGAAGAUACCUCUUCUCCCCACAUUACCUUGACACUCCAGGCAGAGCAGGAAGAUGUGGGCAUGAGGGUGAGUGAGAACUAUGGGUGGAAGGGAUGUAAGCAGAUUUAAAAUGAAUUCUGUGACUAGAGGUAAAAGCCACUGUGGAGGCGAGGUUUAUGCAUGAUUGGGAAGGAGAGAAGAUCAAAGAACAAAGAACUCAAUCCAUCUAGUUUCUUGGAGAAUGGGAAAAGGCAUGGUCAACCUCAUGGUUAGCCAUUAAGGCAAGAUUUCAAUGUAAAGAAACAUCUUUACUCCCGUUGCUUCUAUCCUCCUGGAAUUCUUCUCCUACGUCUUGCUAGUUCCUUUCCCCACCAGUAGUACCAGGCACCCAUCCCCUUCAUAUCCAUCUCCUAGUUUCUAUCAAAUCCCAGGCUCUCCAGGUCUCAUCUAUACCCUUCCAUGAAGAGGAACACUUCCUGCUGCAAUUGCCAAGGGACUGCCAUGCUCUAAGCAGAAUUCUAGCACUUCGAUAGAUGUCCUAUCCUAGAUCCUAAAACACUAAGAACGUGAGAAGCAAAGCCGGAAGCUGAGGGAACUACAGGACAGAGUCACAGAGGAUAAAUAGCGAGCCAGGGUGACAUGGAACAACCACUCUCUAGUGGGAGAGGUAAGAGAGAGAGUAAAUCCUAGCCUCUUUCUUGGCUGGAGCCCUACCCAGGCCCUUACUAUGAAGUCACAGAGACUGUACAAAUCUCUAGGGUGAAGAGCAGCCCCAGUGGAGGAGGUUUAAAUAUGGUUUCUGAAGGGUUUAACUGUGGGUCCUUCUUAUAGCCAUUAAAUUUAAAUUAAACUAUUAUGUUUGGAAAAUGUCUUUGUACUGGCCGUCUCACCUGCCUAGAGUGCACUGACUCUUCACCUCCAUGGCUUAGUUUCCCAGACUUCUUUCAAGAAUAAGCUUAAAUCUCACCUUCUACCAGGGGCCUGUCUUUGUCCUUCCUUCACCCACGUCCAUCCCUGCUGCUGAGGCCUUCCCUUUUUCAUUAUUACCUUCGUAUACUCUGUAUGUCAUGUACUUUGUAUGUACUAUCUAUAUACU